GCAGUUGGUGGACCUGGUCGCGCUGUGCCGGGUGUGACACUACGGAGAGCAGAUUACAUUAUCAAAAGCACCAAGUUGAAACAUUUGCAAGGUAGGUGAGAAAAAAAGCAUUCGUCAGCAUAUUUUGGAUUUUAUCAUUUUGACUUUAUUGCCUAUGGUCAGUUCUGCCAGUUUUUGUCUCCUUCUAAAAAUUGUUUCAAUCUGCUGAAUCUAUGGAAAUUUAAUAUUUUCCAUAGUGAAGGCUGAUAAGACAUCUGAGGAAGAAUUAAAAACAGAUGAUCUCUAAUUUAAGAAACAUUUGAUGCUAAUUACUUCUUACCUUUUCACACAACUUAAAUAUUGGUUAAUAUAUAGGAUUACAUUACUUUUUAAGUGAGAUUUUAAAGCUAAAUUGAUAAAGUAGAGAUCUAGUGAGAUAAUUAGAUGUUCAUACAAGAUUUGAAAAAUACAGACAUUCUUAGUCACACAAAAAUACCAAAAAGCAUUGUGAUAAUUCACUUUUUCUUAUUCUAAUUUGUAACAGCAUUUUAAUAUGGUCAGUAGAAUGGCUUCAGCAUAUUUACAAUCUUAAAGUUUUUAACUAGAAAACAGUUUGAUGUAUAGAUCUGUUACUCAGCAACAUUUUAGAUUUAAAACUUAAUUUAAUUUUAUAGCUAAUUUAAUUUUAUAGCAAAUUUAAUUGUAUAGCAUGUAAGGCAGUUUACAUUUGAUUUAAUAAAAUUAACACUUAGGCUUUUAUGAUAGCUUUCUAACUCAGGUAUCAGUGAUUUUCAGAAUGCAGAGAUUUUCAAACUGAAAUUUUUUUUGUCAUGAUGCUCUUGUGGCUAAGUUUAUACUUGGGUUAUUUCUUCUUUACACACACACACACACACACACACACACACACACACACACACACCCCAUAAUAUGAAAAAAUAAAGUCUGAAAGAAAAUAUACAAAUACAUUACUAUUUUUUGGACAGUGUAUAGAUUUGAGUGAUCUGUAGAACCUUCUUUAUUGUAUUAUACAGGCUUAAAUUUUUAAUGAUUACUUUAUAAUUCGGUAGAGUAUAGCUAUUUUCAUUUUCAAAAACAUAUAUAUGACAAUCCCAGUAUAGGUGAUACAUUGUUUUCACAAAAAUUUUAUAAUAAAUAUUGACAAUAAUUUUUUCCUAUCCUCUUGAAUCUGUAAAAACCUGCCAGAGCAAAUAUCCUGUUCUUUCCUUGGCAUUACUAAUUUGUUCAUGGUAUUGAUAUAAACCACUCAGUGGAAGUUACAGUGUAAUAACUGUAAACUGCAAGGGGUAUGUUAUGCUUAAAGGAUCCCAGGAAUGAUCCAAGACAAACCACAGACAUGGUAAACAGAAAUUAUACCUCUGCAGGAUCUUAGGACUCCUCUACACUGUUAACAAUUAUUGAAGACCCUUGCAAAGAACUUUGUUUAUGCAGGUUAUGUUGGUAUUUAUCAUAUUAGAAAUUGAAACAGAAAAAUUUAAAAAAUAUUUACUAAAUCAUUUAAAAACAAUGAAAACAUAUUACAUGUUAACAUAUGUAAUAUAGUUUUUCUGAAACAAAAUAAACAAAUAUGUAUGUAUACAUAUAUAGCGAGAAGAGUGGCACUGUUUUACAUUUUUGUAAAUGUCUUUAAUAUAAGGCUUAAUAGAAGACAGCUGAAUUCUCUUACCUGCUUCUGCAUUCAAUUGGAUGCAAUAUGGUAUUUUGUUUAAAGUAAAAUCUGUCUUUACACAAAUAUGUAAUUAUAGAAGGAAGGAGUAUUUUAAUAACUUUUUCAGUUGAUUGUGGAUAUUCUUUAAUAUUACAGUGAAUCUCAACAAAUGAUAGUCUGUUACAGAUUAGUUGCAUUGUGAAAUCUGAAACCAUAUAAAUCAACUUUUCAGACUUUUGAACCUAGCCUGUUUCUUAAGGAAGAUUUCUGAAAGGUGUCUAACUUUUGCUUUAAAAAAAUAAAUUGUAAAAUUUAAAUCAUAGUAAGACAAUCUCAAGCACAUUCUGAAGGAUAUUUUAAGUUUACUUUUCAUCAAAGUUACUUUAUAAAAUAUUCAAGCACUGCUUAAGUCUCUGAUCCUGAUUUCUUAAUGUUUAGAUUAAUUGAAUUUAAAGUUUAUUAUUUAUUAGAUGUUCUAGCUCUUAAAGUCUUUGCUUUGUGACUUUCUGGAGGUAAGUUUUUGUAUAUUAAUUAAGCAGAUGUAAACAGCAUAGGAAAAAAUAAAGGUUUGAUUAGUGAUUUUUUGGCAUGGUGCUCCACUAUUCUAGAUUUCUGUUAAGUACUAAAGAAAGUAAUUUCCAAACAAAACCUUUGCUUGAGCUUGAGAACCGAAAUACUGAUUUCAAAAAAAAAA
rnacentral:lncRNA from 10 species